rnacentral:rRNA from 1 species
UACGGUAGGGUGCAAGCGUUGUCCGGUAAUUAUUGGGCGUAAAGAGCUCGUAGGCGGUCUGUUGCGAUCGGCGUCGUGAAAACCCCGGGGCUCAACCCGGGCCUGCAGCCGAUACGGGCAGGACUAGAGUUCGGCAGGGGAGACUGGAAAUUCCUGGUGUAGCGGUGAAAUGCGUAGAUAUCGAGAGGAACACCUGCGGCGAAGGCGGGUUGCUGGGCCGACACUGACGCUGGAUGCGGACGA